UCCCUGGUGGCUCAGACGGUAAGGCCUCUGCCUGCAAUGCAGGAGACCCGGGUUCGAUUCCUGGGUCGGGAA
rfam:Ovis aries breed Texel chromosome 2, whole genome shotgun sequence.